AACUCGGCAUCCUGGACACCACCACCCCGCACCUUUCCACAGUGCAGCUCUGCUCGUGCCUGUGAAGCCUCCCACAGCCUGGGAAGGAAAAUCCAGACUUGCCAGACCUUGCCUCAGCCAGGCCUUGGAAGCCUGCCAGCUUACCUAACCAGACCCUCAGCCCAUGGAGUCCUGUGUGAUGUUGUGAGCGUGGGAGGACAGACUGAACUGCUCGGCCCGUGGAGUCCUGUGUGAUGUUCUCAACGGCAGCUAAAGCCACUGCAUACAAUGCAAGGACUGGCUCCUGUUUGGCCACGACUGAUUGCAGCCCCUGGUGAAAUGAGAACCCUGUGGGUCGGAACAAAGUUUGGAUUAUUUAUGUUGCAAGUAACUAAAAUCUCAAGUGAAACUGGUUUAAACA
ensembl:lncRNA novel transcript, antisense to SPTBN5